rnacentral:sRNA from 1 species
GUAGAAAACGCAGAGGCAGGAAAAGUGCUAAUAAUACACCAGAAAAUAGUCCCAACUUCCCUAACUUCAGAGUCAUUGCCACAAAGUCAAGUGAACAGUCAAGAUCUGUAAAUAUUGCUUCAAAACUUUCUCUCCAAGAGAGUGAAUCCAAAAGAAGAUGCAGAAAAAGACAAUCUCCAGAGCCAUCACCUAUGACACUGGGUCGAAGGAGUUCUGGCCGACAGGGAGGAGUUCAUGAAUUGUCUGCUUUUGAACAACUUGUUGUAGAAUUGGUACGACAUGACGACAGCUGGCCUUUUUUGAAACUUGUUUCUAAAAUCCAGGUAAUUACUAGACUUGAUAAAAUGUAUUCAUGUAUAUUAUCUGAUUUAGUCUACAUGACAACUUUGAAGUCAAAACACCUGUUACUCACUGUCUAGUUUUUUUGUUGUUGUUGUUGUUUCCUGAGACAGUCUCA